rnacentral:lncRNA from 1 species
GGCACGGGGACCCACCAGCUUGUCUGCCGCCAUCUGGGGUACAGUGCUGGAAGCGGGGAUACAGGGACAAAUAAGACACAGAUCCUGUUCCUAAAGAGUUUUUUGAGAUGAAGUCUCGUUCUUGUCCCCCAGGCUGGAGUGCAAUGGCAUGAUCUCAGCUCACUGCAACCUCUGCCUCCCGGGUUCAAGCAAUUCUCCUGUCUCAGCCUCCUGAGUAGCUGGAUUACAGAGUCUUUUCUAAGGCACCAACUACUUCCUUCAAGCAGCAGCCAGAGAUCUUUGCUUAAUGGCUGAGAAACACAGAGGAGAGACCCAGAGAGAAGGAGAAGGCCGCAUGAAGAUGGAGCAGAGACUGGAGUUAUUCAGCCAAGUCAAGGAAUGCCUGGAGCACCAGAAGCCGGAAGAGGCAAGGAAGGAUCCUCCCUUAGAGCAUUUGGAAGAGUGUGGCCCUGCCAACACCUUGACUUCAAACUUCUGGCCUCCAUAACUAUGAAAUAAAUUCUUGUUGUUUUAAGCCA